rnacentral:rRNA from 2 species
UGGGGAAUAUUGCGCAAUGGGGGAAACCCUGACGCAGCGACGCCGCGUGAGCGAAGAAGGCCUUCGGGUUGUAAAGCUCUGUUUUAGGGGACGAAAGGUGAAGAUAGUAACUGAUCAACAUAAGACGGUACCCUAAGAGGAAGCCCCGGCUAACUACGUGCCAGCAGCCGCGGUAAGACGUAGGGGGCGAGCGUUGUCCGGAAUUACUGGGCGUAAAGAGCACGUAGGCGGAAAAUUAAGUCUGGUGUGAAAGACCGGGGCUCAACCCCGGGGUGGCAUUAGAAACUGGUUAUCUUGAGGGCAGGAGAGGACAGUAGAAUUCCUGGUGUAGCGGUGAAAUGCGUAGAAAUCAGGAGGAAUACCGGUGGCGAAGGCGACUGUCUGGACUGACCCUGACGCUGAGGUGCGAAAGCGUGGGUAGCAAACAGG